GACGUAGGGUGCAAGCGUUGUCCGGAUUUAUUGGGCGUAAAGAGCUCGUAGGCGGUUUGUUAAGUCUGGCGUUAAAGCCUGAGGCUCAACCUCGGAAAUGCAUCGGAUACUGGCAGACUUGAGUACGGUAGAGGCGAGUGGAAUUCCCAGUGUAGCGGUGAAAUGCGUAGAUAUUGGGAAGAACACCGGUGGCGAAGGCGGCUCGCUGGGCCGCAACUGACGCUGAGGAACGAAAGCCAGGGGAGCGAAUAGG
rnacentral:rRNA from 1 species